rnacentral:rRNA from 1 species
AUGACAAGAAAUCGCUGUGUCGUGUUACAGGAUUACCCACGAUGGAUUGAGAACCCAGAGACCCGUGCAAGGAUUUCUCAGCAUCUGCUCUUCUGCCAUCAGAAUGUCUUGGAGACGAAGCAGCAUACAGUCUUCGGUAAAAUUCCGAGUCAGGUAUCAAGCUUGUAUCUCGUACAACAAUAUAAAUCAUCUAUUUGUACUUCUUUUUUGUUGUCUUUCAUGCUUCGUAUACAUGUUAAUGGCAUGCUAUGUUAUAAGGUCUUUUUUUUUGUUUCCUGUUUCAAGUUUUAUCUCACUGCUAAGAUAUGA